rnacentral:rRNA from 1 species
CCUUCAAGAAAAGCCUCUAAGCUUCAGUUUAACAGGACCGUACCGCAAACCGACACAGGUGGGCGAGAUGAGUAUUCUAAGGCGCUUGAGAGAACUCGGGAGAAGGAACUCGGCAAAUUGGUACCGUAACUUCGGGAUAAGGUACGCCCCUGUAGCCUGACUGGCCUGCGUCAGAAGGGUGAAGGGGUUGCAAUAAACUGGUGGCUGCGACUGUUUAAUAAAAACACAGCACUCUGCAAACACGAAAGUGGACGUAUAGGGUGUGACGCCUGCCCGGUGCCGGAAGAUUAAAUGAUGGGGUGCAAGCUCUUGAUUGAAGUCCCGGUAAACGGCGGCCGUAACUAUAACGGUCCUAAGGUAGCGAAAUUCCUUGUCGGGUAAGUUCCGACCUGCACGAAUGGCGUAACGAUGGCCACACUGUCUCCUCCCGAGACUCAGCGAAGUUGAAGUGUUUGUGAUGAUGCAAUCUCCCCGCGGCUAGACGGAAAGACCCCAUGAACCUUUACUGUAGCUUUGCAUUGGACUUUGAACCGGUCUGUGUAGGAUAGGUGGGAGGCUUUGAAGCGUGACGCCAGUCUGCGUGGAGCCAACCUUGAAAUACCACCCUGGUUUGUUUGAGGUUCUAACCUUGGUCCGUAAUCCGGAUCGGGGACAGUGCAUGGUAGGCAGUUUGACUGGGGCGGUCUCCUCCCAAAGUGUAACGGAGGAGUACGAGGGUACGCUAGGUACGGUCGGAAAUCGUGCUGAUAGUGCAAUGUCAUAAGCGUGCUUAACUGCGAGACCGACAAGUCGAGCAGGUGCGAAAGCAGGUCAUAGUGAUCCGGUGGUUCUGUAUGGAAGGGCCAUCGCUCAACGGAUAAAAGGUACUCUGGGGAUAACAGGCUGAUACCGCCCAAGAGUUCAUAUCGACGGCGGUGUUUGGCACCUCGAUGUCGGCUCAUCUCAUCCUGGGGCUGUAGCCGGUCCCAAGGGUAUGGCUGUUCGCCAUUUAAAGAGGUACGUGAGCUGGGUUUAAAACGUCGUGAGACAGUUUGGUCCCUAUCUGCCGUGGGCGCUGGAUAUUUGAAGGGGGCUGCUCCUAGUACGAGAGGACCGGAGUGGACGAACCUCUGGUGUACCGGUUGUCACGCCAGUGGCAUCGCCGGGUAGCUAUGUUCGGAAGAGAUAACCGCUGAAAGCAUCUAAGCGGGAAACUCGCCUUAAGAUGAGAUAUCCCCGGGGCUUCGAGCCCCUUGAAGGGUCGUUCGAGACCAGGACGUUGAUAGGUCAGGUGUGGAAGCGCAGUAAUGCGUUAAGCUAACUGAUACUAAUUGCCCGUAAGGCUUC